CCUACGGGAGGCAGCAGUGAGGGAUAUUGGUCAAUGGGCGGGAGCCUGAACCAGCCAAGUCGCGUGAGGGAAGACGGUCCUAUGGAUUGUAAACCUCUUUAGGCGGGGAGCAAUGCCGGGCACGUGUGCCCGGAGGGAGAGUACCCGCAGAAUAAGCAUCGGCUAACUCCGUGCCAGCAGCCGCGGUAAUACGGAGGAUGCGAGCGGUAUCCGGAUUUAUUGGGGUUAAAGGGUGCGGCGGCGGAUUUUUAAGUCAGCGGUAAAAUGUCCGGGCUCAACCCGGGCCGGCCGUUGAAACUGGGGAUCCUUAGUGGGCGGGAAGGAUGCCGAAUG
rnacentral:rRNA from 1 species